AGGAAACAGCCACAGGGAAGGGAACCCCUAAGCCACUUUGGGAGCCACAUCCACCACUUCUCUGCCCCUGACCCAGGCUGGUUCCUAGCCCUUAGGGUCCUACUGCGGACCUCCCGGCCAUAAUUAACGCAGGUGCAGGACCAGAGAGCCCCUUGGUCCCUCCCAACACAUGAGGGAACUUUGUGUGGUGAGGUCAGCCCAGGCUGGAAUGCUGUGACUCGAUCUGGGCUCACUGCAACCUCCACUUCCCGGGUUCAAGCGAUUCUCCUGCCUCAGCCUCCCGAGUAGAUGAAAUUACAGACAACCGCCACCACGCCCGGCUAAUUUUUGCAUUUUUUAGUAGAGAUUGGGUUUCACCAUGUGGGCCAGGCUGGUCUCGAACUCCUGAACUCAAGUGAUCUGCCCGCCUUGGCCACCCAAAAUGCUGGGAUUGCAGGCGUGAGCCACUGCGCCCGGCCUGAAUCCAUUUUAACACUGAGUUUUUCAGAUUAACUCGAAGUACCCCACAACUACACGCUAAUGAAACUAGAGGAGGCACAGCCUCAGCUCCGUGCAGGAUGGAUGCACAAGAGCAGAAUCUCCAUGGGACGCCUUUCUGGAGCAUCAGUAUUACUGCAGGAUUUGGAAGCAACAAGUUCAAAUAAUUUUCAACGUUAACACACUGGAAAUUUAAGAGAAGUCUGGAAACUCAUCUACCUUUAAAAACUGUCAGUCAUCUGUGCCUAAGUCAGACUUUCUCCAAGAAAAAAAAAAAAAGAAACUCUAAGGAGACCCUAUUUUUUAUUCUUCUAAGUAGUUAAAAUUAGAAAUCACAGCAAGUCAACAGGAAGCUCUCCUCUGCCAGUCUCCUAAAUCACAAUAUGGCCUUGUCGUGGCUGGAGUAUUUCAAAGGCUCAGUCCCACUCCAGAAUCGGCCCUGUCGCCUCCGCCCGCACUCCAGAGCCGGCUGAGAACCGCAGCGGCGCGGGAUCCACGUGCAGCGUCUCUCCAGACUGUGCCACUCCAUGGACUUGAAACAAACCCCAUAUUCCUCCUGAGUCUGAAGGAGAUCAAAGUACUCCAAAAAUGCAGCUGCUUCAGUGACAAGAGGGAAUUACCUUCUCCCAAGCCUCAGGAUCCUGGUACCCGACUUGCCUGCCCCAGGCUCACUCCCAUUCACACAGUCCUUCAUGGCAGUGUCCAGCUUCACCAGGUCAAAGCUACCUAGAUGUCAUCAUACAAAUUACAGGCUAUGACGUCCACCUCAUUCUCUUUCUGGAAGGCUGACCUUAACUGUCCUGCACAUUCCUUACACAGCAUAUUUGCCCUUUUCCUAUACUAAUAAGCCCUAAAUCUUGGGGGUAACAGCCUGGGGAACUACCUGUCUUGCUACCACUCAAGACCAUACUUCUGUCCACAAAUUCCCCCCAAUAAAUUAUCUUUUACUGACAAA
rnacentral:lncRNA from 1 species